UGAAUGCAAGAGGCAGUUUUCAGAACAAUAUUGUAGCAUAAAGUAAUUUUUAUUGCUUUUGGUUUACUUUUUUAUUCUUUUUGUUUGUUUUUCUAAGUAGACUCCAUGUCCAGUCGGAGUCCAACAAGGGACUUGAACUCCGGACCCUGAGAUCAAGACCUAAGCUGAGAUCAAGAGUCUGAGGCUUAACCAACUGAGCCACCCAGUGCUUAGCACACUGCCAUGUAUGGAUACUCUACUCAAGACAAGUCAAGAUUUUCGAUGGAGUCUGAAGUGUCCGUUCACGCAGCAGCUGUGCGAAGUUCAGUGUUGCAUUGUGAGAACCACCUCAAUACAGCGCCAUGAUUUUCUUAAUCUGUAUGCCUAAUGUGGGGCUCAAACCCACAACCCCAAGAUCAAGAGUCCAGGAUCAAGGGUCCAUACCGAUUGAGCCAACCUGGAACCCCUAUGCUGCUGUGGUAGGUUUGCUAUUGUUUUAUUUAAGAUUUUUCAUCUGUUUAUAAAAGAUUUUGGCCUGUAGUUUUCUUGUAAUGUCUCUGUCCAGAUUUGGUGUUAGAGAGCCAGGUAAAGCUGGUCUAACAAAAUGAGGUAGGAAGUGCUCUCUCAUCUAAUAUUUUGGGAGAAUUUAAGACGGGUUGGUGUUAAUUCUUUAAACGUUUGGCAGAAUUCACCAGUGAAGCCAUCUGGUCUUGGGA